UUUCACACAAAAGUUUUAUCUUAGCUUAGGGAUUGUGUCUAUGGUUUUGUAUCAUGCAAGUUUUAGCUUUAUUGUUUAAAUAGACUCGAAUUUAGGCAGUUAUUAGUUUUAAGUUUUUAAUAAUUUAAGAUUUAGUCAACCAUAAUUGCUUUUACUAAGGGUGUGCCAGCAGUAGCGGUUAGACACUCGGGGCUUCACAAUUUUUGUUGGUUUAUAGAAAGCGGAAGGUAAAAAUUUAAUUUUGAUUUUUAUUGGGUGAAAUUUAAAUUUUAAUAAUAAAUUUUGUUUGUGGUUCUAUUAAAUUUUUUUUUAAACUAGGAUUAGAUACCCUAUUAUUUUUAAUGUAAUUUUUAAAACCUAGUUAGUAGUAGUUAAGAUCUUGAAAACGAAAAGAUUUGGCGGUAUUUUAGUCUUUUCAGAGGAGCCUGUCCCGUAAUUGAUGUUCCACGAUAAAAAUUACUUAUUCUAAUUAGCUUGUAUAUCGUCGUGAUUGAUUGUUUUAAAAGAAUUAAAAUGAUCAUUAAAUUUUUUAAAUAAAAAGUCAGAUCAAGAUGCAGCUGAUGUAUAAGGGGAGAUGGGCUACAAUAAGUAGACUUAUAUGGUGUUUUUUAUUAAUUUAAAAUAUUAAAGUGGAUUUGACAGUAAUUUUAUUAAAUUUUUUAAAAUGAUUUAGCUCUAAAAUAUGCACAUAUCGCCCGUCACUUUCAUUAACGUGAAAUAAGUCGUAACAGAGUAGGCGUACUGGAAAGUGUGCCUGGAAAGG
rnacentral:ncRNA from 1 species